GGUGGCGAGUGGCGAACGGGUGAGUAAUACAUCGGAACGUGUCCUGUAGUGGGGGAUAGCCCGGCGAAAGCCGGAUUAAUACCGCAUACGCUCUACGGAGGAAAGGGGGGGAUCUUAGGACCUCUCGCUACAGGGGCGGCCGAUGGCAGAUUAGCUAGUUGGUGGGGUAAAGGCCUACCAAGGCGACGAUCUGUAGCUGGUCUGAGAGGACGACCAGCCACACUGGGACUGAGACACGGCCCAGACUCCUACGGGAGGCAGCAGUGGGGAAUUUUGGACAAUGGGGGCAACCCUGAUCCAGCAAUGCCGCGUGUGUGAAGAAGGCCUUCGGGUUGUAAAGCACUUUUGUCCGGAAAGAAAACUUCGGGGUUAAUACCCCUGGAGGAUGACGGUACCGGAAGAAUAAGCACCGGCUAACUACGUGCCAGCAGCCGCGGUAAUACGUAGGGUGCGAGCGUUAAUCGGAAUUACUGGGCGUAAAGCGUGCGCAGGCGGUCCGCUAAGACCGAUGUGAAAUCCCCGGGCUUAACCUGGGAACUGCAUUGGUGACUGGCGGGCUAGAGUAUG
rnacentral:rRNA from 1 species